UGGGGAAAAUUGCACAAUGGAGGAAACUCUGAUGCAGCGACGCCGCGUGAGUGAAGAAGGUCUUCGGAUCGUAAAACUCUGUCCUUGGUGAAGAAAAAAUGACGGUAGCCAAGGAGGAAGCCCCGGCUAACUACGUGCCAGCAGCCGCGGUAAUA
rnacentral:rRNA from 1 species